UCUAGCAAAAUGAGGCGCAAUGGUGACUCGAACCCCAGACAUGCCACGAGAGAGGUGGUUCUGAAACCACUACGCUGCCCUUCGGACAAUAAACCAUGAGCGAAAUCAGUCUAAGUAACCUCUUACUGCCGCUACUACAACAAGGAAGGAAAAAAAAUACAGGUUUAAAAAGGGGCGCUUGGGGGGAUCGAACCGUCGCAUGCGCUGCGCUCGAACCAGUUGGUCUAGGAGGGGGAAUAGUCCCAAAGUGGGGCACCACAUUAGUUGAAAACUACCACGCGAGUCCUCCCUGGAACGCCUGAGUUGUUCUGCCCAUGCACUCGCACACCUGCACGCACGCAAGCACACCAUAGGGAGCUCUAGCGGGGGUUCGCGUGCUCGAGCAGCUGCGCUUCUGCCGCGAUCUACUGCUGCUGCUGCUACAACAC
rnacentral:lncRNA from 1 species